CCUACGGGAGGCAGCAGUGAGGAAUAUUGGUCAAUGGACGAGAGUCUGAACCAGCCAAGUAGCGUGAAGGAUGACUGCCCUAUGGGUUGUAAACUUCUUUUAUACGGGAAUAAAAUGUUUCACGUGUGGGAUUUUGUAUGUACCAUAUGAAUAAGGAUCGGCUAAUUCCGUGCCAGCAGCCGCGGUAAUACGGAGGAUCCGAGCGUUAUCCGGAUUUAUUGGGUUUAAAGGGAGCGUAGGUGGAUUGUUAAGCUUGUUGUGAAAUGCUGCGGCUCAACCAUGAAAUUGCAGUUGAAACUGGCAGUCUUGAGUACAGUAAAGGUAGGCGGAAUUCGUGGUGUAGCGGUGAAAUGCUUAGAUAUCACGAAGAACUCCGAUUGCGAAGGCAGUUCACGGGACUGCAACUGACGCUGAGGCUCGAAGGUGUGGGUAUCAAACAGGAUUAGAUACCCCGGUAGUC
rnacentral:rRNA from 1 species